rnacentral:rRNA from 1 species
CCUACGGGAGGCAGCAGUGAGGAAUAUUGGUCAAUGGGCGGGAGCCUGAACCAGCCAAGCCGCGUGAGGGAAGAAGGUACAGCGUAUCGUAAACCUCUUUUGUCAGGGAACAAAGGCGGGGACUAGUCCCCGGAUGAGGGUACCUGAAGAAAAAGCAUCGGCUAACUCCGUACCAGCAGCCGAGGUAAUACGGAGGAUGCGAGCGUUAUCCGGAUUGAUUGGGGUGAAAGGGUGGGCAGGCGGCCUGUUAAGUCAGCGGUAAAAGCCCGGGGCUAAACCCCGGCGAGCCGUUGAAACUGGCGGGCUGGAGUUGGAGAGAGGUACGCGGAAUGCGCGGUGUAGCGGUGAAAUGCUUAGAGAUCGCGCAGAACCCCGGUUGCGAAGGCAGCGUACCGGCUCCACACUGACGCUGAGGCACGAAAGCGUGGGUAUCGAACAGGAUUAGAUACCCGAGUAGUC